GACAUUUCUUUCAGGUUGUGGAGCAUAGUUAUUCGUGUGCACUUGAGAGAUCAUUCUUGCACCAUGGUCGUAUGUAUGUCUCGGCAUGGCACAUAUGUUUCCAUUCUAAUGUGUUCUCCAAACAAAUUAAGGUGGUAGUUCCAUUUGAGAAUAUAGAUGAGAUUCGUAAGAGUCGGCAUGCAUUAAUUAAUCCUGCAAUAACAAUCAUUCUUCGGACGGGUGUGGGUGGGCAUGGUGUACCUCCAUUAGGGAGCUAUGAUGGU